UACGAAGGGGGCUAGCGUUGUUCGGAAUUACUGGGCGUAAAGCGCACGUAGGCGGACAUUUAAGGCGGGGGUGAAAUCCCGGGGCUCAACCCCGGAACUGCCUUUGAUACUGGGUGUCUUGAGUGUGGUAGAGGUGAGUGGAAUUGCGAGUGUAGAGGUGAAAUUCGUAGAUAUUCGCAGGAACACCAGUGGCGAAGGCGGCUCACUGGACCACAACUGACGCUGAGGUGCGAAAGCGUGGGGAGCAAACAGG
rnacentral:rRNA from 1 species